AAGAAAAACAAAAUGGAAAGGGGAAAGAAACAAAGCAAAACUAGAAGGCAUAGCAAAACAAUGAAAUACCAAGGAAAAGAAAAAACAGAAUGGGGUAUCAUGGCAAAGCAAAGGACUCAAAGAAAUUCAACAAGAAAAAACUGCCAUCCAAAAUUGUUCCAAGAAAAAAAAUAAUGAUUAUAAGGAUACAAACAAAGCCACGGAAAGAAAAGCAAACAAGCAAAGAAGAAAGGAAACCAAAGCAAAGCGAGAAAGCCAUGAAGCCAUGCAAAGCAAUGCAAAGCAAAGGUAUGAAAGGAAAACCAAAGAGCAAAGCAAAGCAACAGAAAAAACAAUAAGAAGAAAAAAAAGGGACUGAAAAGGAAAGGAAACUAACGAUAAGUCAUUCGAUAAGAAGAGAAAGGGGAAGGAAAAAAAGGAAUGCAAAGAAAUGAACUGGAAGGAAGAAAACCACAUUAAGGAAAUUAACAAUGGAAAGCAAAGCAAAACGAGCAGUACAGAAAUCUGAAUUAGAAUUAGAAGGCAGAGCAAAGCAAAGCAAGUAAGGGCAAGGCUAGAGGAAGGAGACAGGCAAGGGGACAAGGAUACGGGCAAGGAAAAGAAGGCAAAGAAGAAUGCAAUUACAAAACAAAAGGGAAACUGAAAGCAGAGCACAGAAAAACCAUUUGAAAAGAGGAGAAAAUACAGAGAGACUUUUAGAACGGACAACAAUAAGCGAAAGGUGGCCCAAGGAAGAAAGGGAAAGUGAAAGGCAACUGAAAGCACAGCAGGAACACACAGAGAACAGCACUCAGUUAAACAGUCAGAAAGAGAAAUGGAAGCAAAAUAUCAACAAAGUACAUCCAAGUUAAAAACCAACUGAAAAAGAGGAAACACGAAGGCAACGGGAAGAAGAGAGAAGAAGCAGAGUAGGAAA
ensembl:lncRNA